rnacentral:rRNA from 1 species
CCUUGAAAUACCACCCUUUAAUGUUUGAUGUUCUAACGUUGGCCCGUAAUCCGGGUUGCGGACAGUGUCUGGUGGGUAGUUUGACUGGGGCGGUCUCCUCCUAAAGAGUAACGGAGGAGCACGAAGGUUGGCUAAUCCUGGUCGGACAUCAGGAGGUUAGUGCAAUGGCAUAAGCCAGCUUGACUGCGAGCGUGACGGCGCGAGCAGGUGCGAAAGCAGGUCAUAGUGAUCCGGUGGUUCUGAAUGGAAGGGCCAUCGCUCAACGGAUAAAAGGUACUCCGGGGAUAACAGGCUGAUACCGCCCAAGAGUUCAUAUCGACGGCGGUGUUUGGCACCUCGAUGUCGGCUCAUCACAUCCUGGGGCUGAAGUAGGUCCCAAGGGUAUGGCUGUUCGCCAUUUAAAGUGGUACGCGAGCUGGGUUUAGAACGUCGUGAGACAGUUCGGUCCCUAUCUGCCGUGGGCGCUGGAGAACUGAGGGGGGCUGCUCCUAGUACGAGAGGACCGGAGUGGACGCAUCACUGGUGUUCGGGUUGUCAUGCCAAUGGCACUGCCCGGUAGCUAAAUGCGGAAGAGAUAAGUGCUGAAAGCAUCUAAGCACGAAACUUGCCCCGAGAUGAGUUCUCCCUGACUCCUUGAGGGUC